rnacentral:rRNA from 1 species
AUUGAACGCUGGCGGCAGGCCUAACACAUGCAAGUCGAGCGGAUGAAGGGAGCUUGCUCCUGGAUUCAGCGGCGGACGGGUGAGUAAUGCCUAGGAAUCUGCCUGGUAGUGGGGGAUAACGUCCGGAGACGGGCGCUAAUACCGCAUACGGCCUGAGGGAGAAAGUGGGGGAUCUUCGGACCCCACGCUAUCAGAUGAGCCUAGGUCGGAUUAGCUAGUUGGUGGGGUAAAGGCCUACCAAGGCGACGAUCCGUAACUGGUCUGAGAGGAUGAUCAGUCACACUGGAACUGAGACACGGUCCAGACUCCUACGGGAGGCAGCAGUGGGGAAUAUUGGACAAUGGGCGAAAGCCUGAUCCAGCCAUGCCGCGUGUGUGAAGAAGGUCUUCGGAUUGUAAAGCACUUUAAGUUGGGAGGAAGGGCAGUACGUUAAUACCUUGCUGUUUUGACGUUACCAACAGAAUAAGCACCGGCUAACUUCGUU